rnacentral:rRNA from 1 species
UACGGGGGGGGCAAGCGUUGUUCGGAAUUACUGGGCGUAAAGGGCUCGUAGGCGGCCAACUAAGUCAGACGUGAAAUCCCUCGGCUUAACCGGGGAACUGCGUCUGAUACUGGAUGGCUUGAGUUUGGGAGAGGGAUGCGGAAUUUCAGGUGUAGCGGUGAAAUGCGUAGAUAUCUGGAGGAACACCGGUGGCGAAGGCGGCAUCCUGGACCAACACUGACGCUGAGUGAGCGAAAGCCAGGGGAGCAAACGGG